rnacentral:rRNA from 1 species
CUACGGGUGGCUGCAGUGAGGAAUAUUGCACAAUGGAGGAAACUCUGAUGCAGCGACGCCGCGUGGAGGAUGACGCAUUUCGGUGUGUAAACUCCUUUUAUAUGUCAAGAAAAUGACGGUAGCAUAUGAAUAAGCACCGGCUAACUCCGUGCCAGCAGCCGCGGUAAUACGGAGGGUGCAAGCGUUACUCGGAAUCACUGGGCGUAAAGGACGCGUAGGCGGGUUGGAAAGUCAGGUGUGAAAUCCUACAGCUUAACUGUAGAACUGCACUUGAAACUUCUAAUCUAGAGUAUGGGAGGGGGAGAUGGAAUUAGUGGUGUAGGGGUAAUAUCCGUAGAUAUCACUAGGAAUACCUAAAGCGAAGGCGAUCUCCUGGAACAUUACUGACGCUAAGGCGUGAAAGCGUGGGGAGCAAACAGGAUUAGAUACCCUAGUAGUC